rnacentral:rRNA from 1 species
CCCUUAGAUGUUCUGGGCCGCACGCGCGCUACACUGACGAAGUCAGCGAGCAUGUCCUACGCCGACAGGUGCGGGGAAUCUUGUCAAACUUCGUCGUGAUGGGGAUUGAUUUUUGAAAUUCUUGAUCAUAAACGGGGAAUUCCUAGUAAGCGCAAGUCAGCAGCUUGCGUUGAUUACGUCCCUGCCCUUUGUACACACCGCCCGUCGCUACUACCGAUUGAAUGGUUUAGUGAGAUCUUCGGAUUGGCGCCACUGCAGCUCAGCAAUGGGCUUGGUGGAUGCCGAAAAGUUGAUCAAACUUGAUCAUUUAGAGGAAGUAAAAGUCGUAACAA